CAUGCAAGUCGAACGCGUUGGCCCAAUUGAUUGAUGGUGCUUGCACCUGAUUGAUUUUGGUCGCCAACGAGUGGCGGACGGGUGAGUAACACGUAGGUAACCUGCCCAGAAGCGGGGGACAACAUUUGGAAACAGAUGCUAAUACCGCAUAACAGCGUUGUUCGCAUGAACAACGCUUAAAAGAUGGCUUCUCGCUAUCACUUCUGGAUGGACCUGCGGUGCAUUAGCUUGUUGGUGGGGUAACGGCCUACCAAGGCGAUGAUGCAUAGCCGAGUUGAGAGACUGAUCGGCCACAAUGGGACUGAGACACGGCCCAUACUCCUACGGGAGGCAGCAGUAGGGAAUCUUCCACAAUGGGCGCAAGCCUGAUGGAGCAACACCGCGUGAGUGAAGAAGGGUUUCGGCUCGUAAAGCUCUGUUGUUAAAGAAGAACACGUAUGAGAGUAACUGUUCAUACGUUGACGGUAUUUAACCAGAAAGUCACGGCUAACUACGUGCCAGCAGCCGCGGUAAUACGUAGGUGGCAAGCGUUAUCCGGAUUUAUUGGGCGUAAAGAGAGUGCAGGCGGUUUUCUAAGUCUGAUGUGAAAGCCUUCGGCUUAACCGGAGAAGUGCAUCGGAAACUGGAUAACUUGAGUGCAGAAGAGGGUAGUGGAACUCCAUGUGUAGCGGUGGAAUGCGUAGAUAUAUGGAAGAACACCAGUGGCGAAGGCGGCUACCUGGUCUGCAACUGACGCUGAGACUCGAAAGCAUGGGUAGCGAACAGGAUUAGAUACCCUGGUAGUCCAUGCCGUAAACGAUGAGUGCUAGGUGUUGGAGGGUUUCCGCCCUUCAGUGCCGGAGCUAACGCAUUAAGCACUCCGCCUGGGGAGUACGACCGCAAGGUUGAAACUCAAAGGAAUUGACGGGGGCCCGCACAAGCGGUGGAGCAUGUGGUUUAAUUCGAAGCUACGCGAAGAACCUUACCAGGUCUUGACAUCUUGCGCCAACCCUAGAGAUAGGGCGUUUCCUUCGGGAACGCAAUGACAGGUGGUGCAUGGUCGUCGUCAGCUCGUGUCGUGAGAUGUUGGGUUAAGUCCCGCAACGAGCGCAACCCUUGUUACUAGUUGCCAGCAUUAAGUUGGGCACUCUAGUGAGACUGCCGGUGACAAACCGGAGGAAGGUGGGGACGACGUCAGAUCAUCAUGCCCCUUAUGACCUGGGCUACACACGUGCUACAAUGGACGGUACAACGAGUCGCGAACUCGCGAGGGCAAGCAAAUCUCUUAAAACCGUUCUCAGUUCGGACUGCAGGCUGCAACUCGCCUGCACGAAGUCGGAAUCGCUAGUAAUCGCGGAUCAGCAUGCCGCGGUGAAUACGUUCCCGGGCCUUGUACACACCGCCCGUCACACCAUGAGAGUUUGUAACACCCAAAGUCGGUGGGGUAACCUUUUAGGAGCCAGCCGCCUAAGG
rnacentral:rRNA from 1 species